UACGUAGGGUCCGAGCGUUGUCCGGAAUUACUGGGCGUAAAGAGCUCGUAGGUGGUUUGUCGCGUUGUUCGUGAAAACUCACAGCUUAACUGUGGGCGUGCGGGCGAUACGGGCAGACUUGAGUACUGCAGGGGGAGACUGGAAUUCCUGGUGUAGCGGUGGAAUGCGCAGAUAUCAGGAGGAACACCGGUGGCGAAGGCGGGGUCUCUGGGGCAGUAACUGACGCUGAGGAGCGAAAAGCAUGGGGGAGCGAACAGG
rnacentral:rRNA from 1 species